ensembl:lncRNA
GUUUUCGAGUGUCCACACUGCGACGGGACAGCUCUGUUUUAAAAUGUAUCCAUUUUCGAGAGCGUUUUCAAAACGUUGCAUUUUUCCUUGAGGAAAACGCCGUCUCAGUGUGGAAGGGAGAGAAAACGAUGCGUUUUCAAACGAAAAAGCAUUAGUGUGUACGUAGCCGUUAUCCAGUGACCGUAAAAGUACUACGGAAAUUUUGUCUGUUACUGCCAGUGUACUUGGUGCAAAUACUGUGGCAAGGAGAAUGUCUGCAAUGUCUGCAGAUGCAUUAUAACAGUUGGAAUUGGACAUGCAGAGGUGCAAAUCAUUUUUAAUUCAGUGUGCGGAGUCUGUCAACUCCAGUGAUACAGGCCAGCUGGCUGCUUUCAUUCAGAUGGUGUUUGGUGACUUUUUUACUUAAACUGAAAACUACAAGCAGAGCAGCGGAUAUUUACAAUCACUGAAGGACUACGUUGUAGGAAAAAAAAACAUGCCUGUUGAAAAGCUCGUGUCUGUGACAACUGAUGGAGCACCUGCUGUGGCAGGUUGUUACUCAGGAGUUUAGUUUCUAAACUAUCAUUGCAUCACUUACCAAUAGGCUAUAUGCCCAAAAGUUAUGGAAUUUGACCAUGUGGUGCUGCCUGUUGUUAAUAAUGUUAAUGUCAUCAGCUCCAUUUGAGCAAAGGCAAAGCAACACCGAAGCUUCAGGUUGUUCCUGGAGGAAUGUUCUGCUGAGUAUGGGGAUCUCCUCCUCCACACUGAACUCAGAUGGUUAAGUCGAGAUUUCCCUGGACCUGCUCCUGUGUUUCCUGGAUGACCGCGCUUGUGUCUUUGGAGUGAAGCCAGUUUGCGUGAGGAGAUUCGGAGUGCGGAAAUGGAGCGACUGAGCGAGGGAGUGAAGCGUGUGGAGUGAACGGAGCGAGGAUCAAAGAGCAAGGAUGGAGUGUUUCUUCCCUGCACCCGCUGAGGAUCCCUGGAGCCCUGUCUGUCCCCUCACGUUGUAUAUAGUUCACCUGGUGCUUAGUGUAGAUAAAGACUGUUUUCUGCUUUGAUUCCAAGUCUUCGUAGGAGUCCAUUCUGUCAGCCCUGACACUUGCAAGUGAACUAAAUAUUUUUUUUAAGUGUUAAUGCAAAAAGUAAGUUGUGGACAACAUCAUUUUGUAAAUAUUCCCAAAAACAAGCUUUUUGGGGUUGUUUGAGUUGAAAUGAGGUAUGAAAUGUUAGAAAGCAUGAGUAGCUCUGGGGGAGGGGGGGGGGAAUCCCUGCCUUAGAGUAUCUGCUGGUAAAGCUAAAAGCUAACCAUUAAAAACAGCACACAUGUUAAGCCUUAAUAAGAUUUAAAAUAAACUUAUCCAGCUGUUUCAAGGUGUUUAAUAUGAGGAGUGAAUCAGAUGCACACUUAAUGGAACUGAAAGCAAGCCAUUUAUUGUGGGCUGACAGCAGGUUGUACAAAACUUGAAACAAGUACAAAAUAAUAAAAAUGAACAAUAAACUUAAUAAAACCAGAAACUAGAAAACAUACUAAGGCUAGCAAUACUAGGGGAGAACAGACACUGACAAAGGACAAGGAGAGACAGCAGCUUUAUAUACAAAGAAAGGCAAUUAGGGGAAGUGGACAGAUGGGGAGAACAAGACACAGGUGAACAGAGUCAAAGG